rnacentral:lncRNA from 1 species
UCGUCUAGUUUUCCUUUUCCAUCUUUGUUGAAUCUGUUUUUGCUUCUUUUUCAACCUCCAACGUGCAAAUAUUGCAAGGCUAACGAAUUAGCCCUUACACGAACAUGUUUAACUUGCUCGGCAAAGACAGGAAGUAUCAACCAAUUCUCUCCCACUUACAAACCAAAUGACAACUCCCAAGUAUAAGAGCUAUGCAUCAUCUCCUUCUCUUAUCGCUAUUUUUGCUAAAUUUCCUUACAGUUUCUAUUAUUACUCAAUGUUUCUCAUUGACGAAAAAGCAGCGAGCAUUCAAGAAUCCAAAAUUUCUGAUGUCUCAAAAACUCACCUUUUCAUUGCAGGAUUCAACCCAAUUACGUUGUUUCCUGCACAGUGCCCAACUCUGCAAAACGCAUUAAAACAUCAACUCAUUCGAGCCGUUUUCAGUUUACAUACAUAUAGAUAGAUAGAUAUAGAUUUAAUAGAUUAGGGUUUUCAAAAAAAAUUACCUGGCUGAGGUGAGAUGGUCGAGGGUGAGGAUUCAAUGGUGGAAGAUUCUAUUGUUGAGAUCAGAUGCAGUACUGCCUUUCUUUUAUCUAAUAACUCUAUGGUAGAACAGUUUGCAAGUCUUACUGCUGUACCUACUCUUUUAGCCAUUCUUAAUGCUUCAUCUCAUUUCAAUAGUUGCUAUCAUGGCAUGGUUGAUUGUUGGUUGUUGCUUAGUGGUUUUUGGACUAGAAGGUGCUAGUCACCGUCUUAUCAGCUCAUUCAAUUGGCUUGGAAUUUUAUGGAAGGUUUAUUUCCAUCAUAAUGUGUCCCAUUGUCGUUAUACGGAAUCCUGUAUAUAUGUAAAUUCCAGUCCCAAAUUAAGUAGCCUUUAUUUCAUAUCAGAUCGUCUCUAUUAAUGUGAAUCUUCCUUUUGCUGCUAUUGUUAAGAGAGUGAAAACUUGUAUAAUUUUUGCAGACUUCAUAUAUUGAUCAUUGAUCGUCUCUAUUAAUGGGUGACUUGCUUUGUAGGAACAUUGGCAUUUGUUCGGUGCUGCACUCGGAACUAUGAGUGGUAAUGGAUGGCUUAGACAUCGCAUGGCAGCAAGGAUUUACCCAAUUGAUAGUGAAAAGUGAUAGCUUGGAAACUGUUAAUAUGAUUCAAAAGCCUAACAGCGACAACUGCUAG